rnacentral:rRNA from 1 species
UACGGAGGGGGCUAGCGUUGUUCGGAAUUACUGGGCGUAAAGCGCACGUAGGCGGCUUUGUAAGUUAGAGGUGAAAGCCCAGGGCUUAACCCUGGAAUUGCCUUUAAGACUGCAUCGCUAGAAUCGUGGAGAGGUGAGUGGAAUUCCGAGUGUAGAGGUGAAAUUCGUAGAUAUUCGGAAGAACACCAGUGGCGAAGGCGACUUACUGGACACAUAUUGACGCUGAGGUGCGAAAAGCGUGGGGAGCAAACAGG